GACGAACGCUGGCGGCGUGCUUAACACAUGCAAGUCGAACGAAGUGGCGAACGGGUGAGUAAUACGUGGGUAACCCGCCCUCUUUUUUGGGAUAAGCCUUGGAAACGGGGUCUAAUACCGAAUAAAGGGGGAUGGGCUCGCGGCCUAUCAGCUUGUUGGUGGGGUGAUGGCCUACCAAGGCGGUGACGGGUAGCCGGGCUGAGAGGGUGAACCGCCCAAUUGGGGACGGGGAAAGGCCCAGACUCCUUCGGGGGGGAGCAAUGGGGGAUAUUGCGCAAUGGGCGAAAGCCUGAUGCAACGACGCCGCGGGGGUGGUGACGGCCUUCGGGUUGUUAAACUCUAUCGGGACGGAAGCGGUACCGGAAUAGAAAGCCACGGCUAACUACGUGCCAGCAGCCGCGGUAAUAC
rnacentral:rRNA from 1 species